rnacentral:rRNA from 1 species
CGGGGAGAUCAACAGGGAUUGCCCUAGUAACGGCGAGUGAAGCGGCAACAGCUCAAAUUUGAAAUCUGGCUCUUUUAGAGUCCGAGUUGUAAUUUGCAGAGGGCGCUUUGGCUUUGGCAGCGGUCCAAGUUCCUUGGAACAGGACGUCACAGAGGGUGAGAAUCCCGUACGUGGUCGCUGGCUAUUGCCGUGUAAAGCCCCUUCGACGAGUCGAGUUGUUUGGGAAUGCAGCUCUAAAUGGGAGGUACAUUUCUUCUAAAGCUAAAUAUUGGCCAGAGACCGAUAGCGCACAAGUAGAGUGAUCGAAAGAUGAAAAGCACUUUGGAAAGAGAGUCAAACAGCACGUGAAAUUGUUGAAAGGGAAGCGCUUGCAGCCAGACUUGCUUACAGUUGCUCAUCCGGGUUUCUACCCGGUGCACUCUUCUGUAGGCAGGCCAGCAUCAGUUUGGGCGGUAGGAUAAAGGUCUCUGUCACGUACCUCCUUUCGGGGAGGCCUUAUAGGGGAGACGACAUACUACCAGCCUGGACUGAGGUCCGCGCAUCUGCUAGGAUGCUGGCGUAAUGGCUGUAAGCGGCCCGUCUUGAAACACGGACCAAGGAGUCUAACAUCUAUGCGAGUGUUUGGGUGUCAAGCCCGAGCGCGUAAUGAAAGUGAACGGAGGUGGGAACCCGCAAGGGUGCACCAUCGACCGAUCCUGAUGUCUUCGGAAGGAUUUGAGUAAGAGCAUGGCUGUUGGGACCCGAAAGAUGGUGAACUAUGCUUGAAUAGGGUGAAGCCAGAGGAAACUCUGGUGGAGGCUCGCAGCGGUUCUGACGUGCAAAUCGAUCGUCAAA